CUGGAUUGUAUAUGGCAGUGUAGAAGGGGCCUCCCUCAAAGCUAUUUCCGUGAUAAGCGAAAAACGAGUGCCGUUUUCUUCUCCUCCCUCAACUCUUUCUCUAUUUCCUUUCACCCCAUGUGGAGAUGGCAGGGAGGGAAAGAGUGAGGCAGGAGGGAACCACAUUCAUAAUUUGAAAUGGGGGGUACGAGAAAAAUAAUCCUGGCGUCAUGCAAUGUAUGACUCCAGCCUCCAACAGUGGCGGCGGACUCCUCCAUCCCUCAGAGGCCGCUCUAAAAACCUUCGCGCGCCGGCCGCCAUUUUGUCUCCUUCCUUUCUUGCGCUGUCAGCCCUCGCUCAGCCUUCGGGCAUUUCCGCGGAGGCCGUUCGGGCUUUCCCGCUCAUUCAAAGGAGGGAGGGAUGGAGCACGCGCUGGGCGGGAGCGGAGGAAGAGGGUCGAGGACGAGUUGGGAGUUGCUUCCGACUCUUCGUGACCUCAUGGGUCGCCACCCCUAGUUCCAUCAAGGUCAAGCCAGUCACUUCAAGGACACCAUCCAUCUUUCCCUUGGUUGGCCUCUCUUCCUUUUUCCUUCCAUUUUCCCGAGCAUCAUGAACUUUUCUCAUUUAUUUAUUUAUUUAACAGACUGGUUCAAGAUUGGGAAAGGAGUACGGCAAGUCUGUCUGUAUCCUCUCACCCUACCUUUCCAACUUGUAUGCAGAACACAUCAUGCAAUGUGCGGGGCUUGAUAAAUCCAAGGCUGGAGUUAAAAUUGCUGGAAGAAACAUUAACAACCUUAGAUAUGCAGAUGAUACUACUUUGAUGGCUGAAAGUGAGGAGGAGCUGAGGAGCCUUAUCACCAAGGUGAAAGAAGAAAGUGCAAAAGCUGGGUUGCAGUGAAACAUCAAGAAAACCAAGAUGGUGGCAACCAGAUUGAUUGAUAACUGGCAAAUAGAAGGAGAAAACGUGGUGGCAGAGACAGACUUUGUAUUUCUAGGCGCGAAGAUUACUGCAGACGUAGACUACAGCCAGGAAAUCAGAAGACGUUAACUUCUUUGGAGGAGAGCAAUGACCAAUCUCGAUAAAAUAGUGAAGAGUAGAGAUAUAGCACUGGCAACACAGGUCUGCAUAGUUAAAGCAAUCGUAUUCCCCAUACUAACCUAUGGAUGUGAGAGCUGGACCAUAAGGAAGAUAUCUGUUGUCAACCAUCCAGAGUCCCCUCUGGGACAUAGGGCAGGAUAUAAAUAAAGUAGAAUUAUAUUUACUCUGGAACUCCCCCCCCCCCCAAGAAAUAAAAAAUGGCCCCCAUCCUCCCCUCCUUUAAAAAGCUUUUUUAAACUCAUUUAUGCACCUUAGUAUAUGGAGAGGAGGAAAACUAGUACACCUUUAUAUAUAUCCUCACCUAGAUAUUGGACACCUACUUCAGCCUGUGGAAAUUGUGUGUGAUGGGUUAUAUUAUGUUUAUUUAAGUUCACUUAUGUAUUGUCUUUUAUUUAGUUUUAUAAGUUUUGAGAUUUUGAGAUUAAUAAAUCUAAACAGUAGAUGAAACAUUGUCCGUUUUCGGCAUUUAAUGUUUGCCAUUUUGUAACUUUUGUUGGAAACUGCCGAGUCCCCUCGGGGAGAUAGGACAGGGUACAAAUAAAGUAUUAUUAUUAUUUGAUACACAACAAGGUGAGUAUACAACAAACAAGAUAACUAUGCUGGCUUUUGUAUUGGAUCACACGUCGGACACUUCCCAAGUGUCUUGGAAUAUGUGAUGGAUUGGCAGAUCCGAGUAGGGUGGCCUUUUAGAACUGACAAAUGGUAAUUUUGUUAGCGCUGAUUGUUUUCAAGUGCAGGCCAUGGUUUUUAGGCACUACAUCCAGUGAGCUGAUCACCACUGGGACCAACUUGACUGGCUUGUGCCAAGAACACAGCCGAUGGGUUAUCACAUGGUUUCCCUGAAAUCAUGUGUUUUGAGAGAAACGAAAGUAAUGAAAUGUAAUACUGCACCACAAAUAUGCACCAAUGGUUUGAUAUGUGGGCGGUCGUAAACUGAACCCACUGAAUUGUAUAAAUAGACACUCGACCCUGUCUGCGGCGUUCUCCCUUUUGAGCAUCUAGUUGUGCGUGGGAUGAACCUCUGCAGCUGCAGGAAACUUUUAGUAAACUGCUUUCUUUGGGAAAAAGAAAAAACCUCCAGUUGUCUGUCUCCUACUUCCACUGCGUCCGCACAGACACA
rnacentral:lncRNA from 11 species